rnacentral:rRNA from 1 species
GACGAAGGGGGCUAGCGUUGUUCGGAAUUACUGGGCGUAAAGCGAGUGUAGGUGGUUGUCCAAGUUGGAUGUGAAAGCCUUGAGCUCAACUCAAGAAAUGCAUUCAGGACUGGGCGGCUAGAGGACCGGAGAGGAUAGUGGAAUUCCCAGUGUAGUGGUGAAAUACGUAGAGAUUGGGAAGAACACCAGUGGCGAAGGCGGCUACCUGGACGGUUUCUGACACUAAGACUCGAAAGCGUGGGGAGCAAACAGG